rnacentral:rRNA from 1 species
CGCGUAGGUGGUUUGUUAAGUUGGAUGUGAAAGCCCCGGGCUCAACCUGGGAACUGCAUCCAAAACUGGCAAGCUAGAGUACGGUAGAGGGUGGUGGAAUUUCCUGUGUAGCGGUGAAAUGCGUAGAUAUGCGGAGGAACACCGAUGGCGAAGGCAAUCCCCUGGACCUGUACUGACGCUCAUGCACGAAAGCGUGGGGAGCAAACA